ACAACGAAGAGUUUGAUCCUGGCUCAGGAUGAACGCUAGCGACAGGCUUAACACAUGCAAGUCGAGGGGCAGCACGGAGCAGCAAUGUUCUGGUGGCGACCGGCGCACGGGUGCGUAACGCGUAUGUAACCAACCUGCGGGUGCGGGACAGCCCGGCGAAAGCCGGAUUAAUACCGCAUGAAACAUUUUAUCUGCAUGGGAAGAAUGUGAAAGAUUAAUUGCCCGCGGACGGACAUGCGUUCCAUUAGGCAGUUGGCAGGGUAACGGCCUACCAAACCAUCGAUGGAUAGGGGUUCUGAGAGGAAGGUCCCCCACACCGGUACUGAGACACGGACCGGACUCCUACGGGAGGCAGCAGUGAGGAAUAUUGGUCAAUGGGCGCAAGCCUGAACCAGCCAAGUCGCGUGAAGGAAGAAGGAUCUAUGGUUCGUAAACUUCUUUUGCAGGGGAAUAAAGUGCGGGACUUGUCCCGUUUUGUAUGUACCUUGCGAAUAAGCAUCGGCUAACUCCGUGCCAGCAGCCGCGGUAAUACGGAGGAUGCGAGCGUUAUUCGGAUUUAUUGGGCUUAAAGGGUGCGCAGGCGGGGGAUUAAGUCGGCGGUGAAAGGCUGUCGCUCAACGACAGGAGCGCCGUUGAAACUGAUUCUCUUGAGUACGAACGAGGUAUGCGGAAUGUGUGGUGUAGCGGUGAAAUGCAUAGAUAUCACGCAGAACUCCGAUUGCGAAGGCAGCAUACCAGACCGUAACUGACGCUGAGGCACGAAAGCGCGGGUAUCAAACAGGAUUAGAUACCCUGGUAGUCCGCGCCGUAAACGAUGAUUACUAGGAGUUUGCGAUACAGUGUAAGCUCUACAGCGAAAGCGUUAAGUAAUCCGCCUGGGGAGUACGCCGGCAACGGUGAAACUCAAAGGAAUUGACGGGGGCCCGCACAAGCGGAGGAACAUGUGGUUUAAUUCGAUGAUACGCGAGGAACCUUACCCGGGUUUGAACGCAUUCGGACAGGGGCGGAAACGUCCUCUUCAGCAAUGACCGUUUGCGAGGUGCUGCAUGGUUGUCGUCAGCUCGUGCCGUGAGGUGUCGGCUUAAGUGCCAUAACGAGCGCAACCCCUAUUGCCAGUUGCCAUCGAGUAAAGUCGGGGACUUUGGCAAGACUGCCGGCGUAAGCUGCGAGGAAGGCGGGGAUGACGUCAAAUCAGCACGGCCCUUACAUCCGGGGCGACACACGUGUUACAAUGGCAGGGACAAAGGGCAGCCACCCGGCGACGGGGCGCUAAUCCCAAAACCCUGUCUCAGUUCGGAUCGGAGUCUGCAACUCGACUCCGUGAAGCCGGAUUCGCUAGUAAUCGCGCAUCAGCCAUGGCGCGGUGAAUACGUUCCCGGGCCUUGUACACACCGCCCGUCAAGCCAUGGGAGUCGGGGGCACCUGAAGUCCGUACCCGCAAGGAUCGGCCUGGGGUGAAACCGGUGACCGGGGCUAAGUCGUAACAAGGUAGCCGUACCGGAAGGUGCGGCUGGAACACCUCCUUU
rfam:Bacteroidales bacterium Barb6XT Barb6XT_contig_131, whole genome shotgun sequence.